AGCGAACGCUGGCGGCAGGCCUAACACAUGCAAGUCGAACGAACUCUUCGGUGUUAGUGGCGGACGGGUGAGUAACACGUGGGAACGUGCCUUUAGGUUCGGAAUAACUCAGGGAAACUUGUGCUAAUACCGAAUGUGCCCUUCGGGGGAAAGAUUUAUCGCCUUUAGAGCGGCCCGCGUCUGAUUAGCUAGUUGGUGAGGUAAAGGCACACCAAGGCGACGAUCAGUAGCUGGUCUGAGAGGAUGAUCAGCCACAUUGGGACUGAGACACGGCCCAAACUCCUACGGGAGGCAGCAGUGGGGAAUCUUGCGCAAUGGGCGAAAGCCUGACGCAGCCAUGCCGCGUGAAUGAUGAAGGUCUUAGGAUUGUAAAAUUCUUUCACCGGGGACGAUAAUGACGGUACCCGGAGAAGAAGCCCCGGCUAACUUCGUG
rnacentral:rRNA from 1 species